AGCCACGCAGUGAGCACAAAGCGAACUAUUCUUUCGCCUUUUACUAAAGAAUACUGUGCACGAUGCAAUUAGUGGCAUACACGAAUUUUUGGAGGGGUUCUCUUUCAUUAGAGUAC
rnacentral:snRNA from 1 species